UAGAAGCUGUUUAAGACGCCUGAUUAAAGCACAAAGCGGUCUGACAUUUUCACACACGAGUGUGUUUCUGUAUCCCUGAUUACAGAGCGGAGAUUGAAAGCCUCCCACCCAGAGGUGUUUGCAUGCAGGCGGGUAGAUGAAGGAGGUCGAUGACGCAUCUGGAGGUGCUCCGACAUCUCUGCACACGGCUGUCGAUUUAGACUAUGCUCUUCGAUCAGGCGUCGAGCUGUCAGCAACACAUCAAUCUGAAUUCCUUCCAUCUCCUUCUUGUAGAGAGAGAAGUAUUUUUAACAGUUUGUACCUGUAACGAUUUUCCACUUGAGUUAUGGGACUCCCUGUGUGAUCGGGUUGCGGAUGCUCUCCGUGUAGGUAAAGGCGUUUGUGAAACUUGACUGAUCAACUACUGUAACUUGACAGUCACAUUCAGCGUUUUCAGCAGAGUUAUUACAUACCAAUUGUUCGUCCCACAUGUUGAAACGCUUCCCUGGAAAAAACGGCAAAUGCUAAAAGCGUGUCAUAUUUUUAACGUCUACUUUUUCCUUUCUCGUCAUCAAUGAAUUAUCAAACAGAGAGCAUAAAUCAGUGUAAAAAAAAAAAAAAAAAAAAAACGAGAGGCAUGUGAAAUGUCUCCUCCUUGCGCUGGACAGAGCGAGGUCUUCAGCUCUCUGUUGUUUCCCAUCUCUGAUGCAGCUGUCGUCUUUUCUCAUUAAAGACGUUUUAAAGAAAGCGUGCGGCUCUGUGCAGCGAGCGUUCAAUCAUUUACCAGGAAGGAAGCAAACUGGACCGGCUGCCGGGUUCCUGGACGCGACAGGCAGCGCGUCAAUCAGGCAAACGCCACAGAUAUUUACACUCAUCUCAGAAACUGGAUUCUUCACAGGGAGCUACAAAUUAAACAGCAAUGGGGAAAUUUCACUGAAAUCCAUGAUAUCUGUGAACAAAAACACAGCCUUAGCUAUUGGUUAAUGAGUCAUUACAUGGGCCAGAUUCGAAGAUAUUGGGUAGUUUAACGCUGUCUAAAAUGACUCCCAGUGCAGAGCAGUUUGAUCCAGUCCUGGUUUCACUAGUUUAAUAAUCAUCAGACACACCUGAGCUUGUUAGCUAGACACACUGGGGGCUGAUCAAGCUGGUAGUGAAACCUGGACUGGGUGUGCAAGAGGAGUCUUACUCCCAUCCUUGUUCGGUUUCAUGCACUCUGUCAAAAUCACCUGAACGAUUUUAACAGUAGGGUGGUUUGCUCUGUGUAAAUGACCAGUGAUUGUCCACAAGCUCCUGUCUACUGUAUAUAGACAAUGCUAGGUGCUGGAAGAAUGAUUAAUUGCUGUGUAUACAUUUAUAUGGAGUUCGUUUUUUUUAUUUUUUAUUAACAAAUACAAUAUAUGCAUAUGAUAGAUACAUUUGUACUUGCUCUAUAAAUAUUAAAUUCUCCAAAUCUAACAUUGUGCAUUGUCUUUUUUUUUUUUUAAUAUUGUCUUGUGUCAGUCCCAGCUUUGCGAAGCUGCAGUUCUAGUUAACGCUUGCCCUGAAGUGUCUCGAACGCCUGUUUACUGUCAUAGCAGUUACUCGGUUAGUGCGUGAGCACUUGCACAACGUUGCACUGGUAUUAGCAGAGCUGCAGUGUGUGUAAGUCUUUGUGCACGGUCUAAUCCUGACCCAGCUGGAAAAGAAUAUAAAAAAAAAAAAAAAAAAAAAAAAAAAAAAAAAAAGCCCCCCUGUUUAAAAAGCCGUCUCCUUGCAUGCGCUGGUGCUUGUUGCAUUGUCAGAAGCUGGUGUUUCUCUGCAGACGGUUUUGCCUCGCUAAAGACACGGGAGCGCCAGAGUCAUUGAAUUCGUGAAGUUUAUUUUAGUGUUUAAUCUGCUGUGGGUCUCUGUGGGUCCAAUCGGCGAGGGGGCUGGGUGGAGGUGAUGUGGGUCUCUCUCCCAGUCAGCGAGGGGGCUGGGUGGAGGUGAUGUGGGUCUCUCUCCCAGUCAGCGAGGGGGCUGGGUGGAGGUGAUGUGGGUCUCUCUCCCAGUCAGCGAGGGGGCUGGGUGGAGGUGAUGUGGGUCUCUCUCCCAGUCAGCGAGGGGGCUGGGUGGAGGUGAUGUGGGUCUCUCUCCCAGUCAGCGAGGGGGCUGGGUGGAGGUGAUGUGGGUCUCUCUCCCAGUCAGCGAGGGGGCUGGGUGGAGGUGAUGUGGGUCUCUCUCCCAGUCAGCGAGGGGGCUGGGUGGAGGUGAUGUGGGUCUCUC